AGUUUAGAAGGUGCAACUGUGGGGAUGGGCCCCCUUUCCCCACUCAUAGAGAGAUUUCUGUCUGGAGAUGUCAGUUCCACUUGGUCAAAAGGAGGUUUUCCCUUUCCAUCCUCACCAGGUAUUGCGCAGCGAUGCACGGCCAUCAAGUACCACUUUUCUCAGCCCAUCCGCUUACGAAACAUUCCUUUUAAUUUAACCAAGACCAUACAGCAAGAUGAGUGGCACCUGCUUCAUUUAAGAAGAAUCACUGCUGGCUUCCUCGGCAUGGCCGUAGCCGUCCUUCUCUGCGGCUGCAUUGUGGCCACGGUCAGUUUCUUCUGGGAGGAGAGCUUGACCCAGCACGUGGCUGGACUCCUGUUCCUCAUGACAGGGAUAUUUUGCACCAUUUCCCUCUGUACUUAUGCCGCCAGUAUCUCUUAUGAUUUGAACCGGCUCCCAAAGCUAAUUUAUAGCCUGCCUGCUGAUGUGGAACAUGGUUACAGCUGGUCCAUCUUUUGCGCCUGGUGCAGUUUAGGCUUUAUUGUGGCAGCUGGAGGUCUCUGCAUCGCUUAUCCGUUUAUUAGCCGGACC
rnacentral:sRNA from 1 species